rnacentral:rRNA from 1 species
ACGGAGGGUGCAAGCGUUAUUCGGAAUUACUGGGCGUAAAGGGCGUGUAGGCGGCCGUGCAAGUCUGAUGUGAAAGCCCGGGGCUUAACCCUGGGAGGGCAUGGGAAACUGCCUUUCUUGAGUUCUGGAGAGGAAGGGAGAAUUCCCGGUGUAGAGGUGAAAUUCGUAGAGAUCGGGAGGAACAUCAGCGGCGCAGGCGCCCUACUGGACAGCAUCUGACGCUAAGACGCGAAAGCGUGGGGAGCAAACAG